UUUUUUUAACUCUUUUGGUUUAUGAAUUCUUUUGUUGGCUGUUUGGACAAGUAUUCUACAUUCCAUGUGGGGAUCAAUAGUGUUUGAUCCCUAUUUAUUUGAGGGAUCUAUCAGUCUUUUAUCCCUCUUAUUCCAUUCUUCACAGUAUGCAUGUUUGCUUGAGAGCGCAGUGUCGGAAGUUUUGUUGCCCAAGUGCUUGGCUAAUGUAUCCAUUUCAUUUUUUUAGUUUUUUUUUAAUGGAACUCAUAAUAGGAAAACAAAUUUAAUUUUGUGAUGGUAAAUGC
rnacentral:lncRNA from 1 species